UGGCAGAGACCAGACAACAACAGAGGCGGGAAAACACCCCUCCAUUGCCCACAUCAGAGAGAAGAAAAGACUGAUGAAGAAAAGCAAAGUAAAAAGAAAGAAUUGGAUCGAGCUAGAGAGAAAACAAGAAUAAACAUUGGACUGUCAUUUCUGAGGUGGAGGGAGCUGCGAGAUUUGCAAUGACUCAAGAGCGCUGCAGACUUUGCUGCUUUUCUGCUGGACAAGUGGCAAUGGAUUUUUGCUGCCACCUCCUAUGACAAAGCGGCUACCUUGCGGACUACAUCAAUAUUUAUCAGGCAUCGCUCACUUUGGCACACCGUCUAAUAAAUACUGCAAAUAAACAAACAAACCGAAAUGAAGAACAGAACAAGCCUUGUGUCAUUAUAUAAGAGCAAGAGACGAGAGCGACCCCAGCCACAGUCUGAUCAUCCUCCUGCCAUCUGGCAAAAGAUACACAAGUAUCCGCUGCCGUUCCACCGGACUACAGAGCAACUUCUUUCCUCAGGCUGUGAGACUCCUGAACUCACCUCGAACACUCCAUUGCCUAAAAUAGAUGUUGCAGGACUCAA